UACGGAGGGUGCAAGCGUUGUCCGGAUUUAUUGGGUUUAAAGGGUGCGUAGGCGGCUUUUUAAGUCAGCGGUGAAAGACUGUCGCUCAACGACGGAACUGCCGUUGAUACUGGAAAACUUGAGUAUGAUUGAGGUAGCCGGAAUGGAUAGUGUAGCGGUGAAAUGCAUAGAUAUUAUCCAGAACGCCAAUAGCGUAGGCAGGUUACUAAGUCAUUACUGACGCUGAGGCACGAAAGUGCGGGGAUCAAACAGG
rnacentral:rRNA from 1 species